UGUGGCGUUGGCUCUUAUCUAUUGUACGACGUCUGUGAACCGUGUCCAGUUGGUCAAUACCAAGACCAGAGUGGUCAGUCGACUUGUAAGCCGUGUCCGGAUGGAACCACGACUUUAGGAGAAUGGUCGGAAAGCAAACAUGAUUGCUCAGUGGAACAACACAGUCGAGAUGUUGAGACUAGUAUAAAAGCAACUACAAUCGCCCUUGGAAUCGGUAGUGCAGCUAUGGUACUUAUCCUGACAGUGUUUGUAUACAGGAGAUUUAGG